rnacentral:rRNA from 1 species
CAAUAGCGUAUAUUAAAGUUGUUGCAGUUAAAAAGCUCGUAGUUGGACUUCUGAUGUGGAGGGACGGUCCGCCUCACGGUGAGCACUGAUUCUUCACGUCUUCCUCUCGUAGUCUUUUGGCGCACUUAGUUGGGUGCCUUUAGAAUAUGGGACCUUUACUUUGAAAAAAUUAGAGUGUUCAAAGCAGGCGUUUUGCUUGAAUAUAUUAGCAUGGAAUAAUGGAAUAGGACUUUGGUUCUAUUUUGUUGGUUUCUAGGACCGAAGUAAUGAUUAAUAGGGACAGUGGGGGCAUUUUUAUUCCAUUGUCAGAGGUGAAAUUCUUGGAUUAACGGAAGAAAAACUACUGCGAAAGCAUCUGCCAAGGAUGUUUUCAUUGAUCAAGAACGAAAGUUAGGGGAUCGAAGAUGAUCAGAUACCA